UGUGGGUAUCUGCCCUUUGGCCUGGAAUAACACGAGGAAACUUGUGCUAAUACCGGAUAAGUCUUUACGGAGAAAGCUUUAUGCACCAUUGGAUGAGCCCGCACUUGAUUAGUUUGUUGGUGGGGUAAUGGCCUACCAAGACUGUGAUCAAUAGCUGAUUUGAGAGGAUGAUCAGCCACAUUGGGACUGAGACACGGCCCAAACUCCUACGGGAGGCAGCAGUGGGGAAUCUUGCACAAUGGAGGAAACUCUGAUGCAGCGAUGCCGCGUGAGUGAAGAAGGCCCUUGGGUUGUAAAGCUCUUUUGUCGGGAAAGAUAAUGACUGUACCCGAAGAAUAAGGUCCGGCUAACUUCGUGCCAGCAGCCGCGGUAAUACGAAGGGACCUAGCGUAAUUCGGAAUUACUGGGCGUAAAGCGCGCGUAGGCGGUUAAGUAAGUUAAUUGUGAAAGCCCAAAGCUCAACUUUGGAAUUGCAAUUAAAACUACUUAACUAGAGUUUAUCAGAGGAA
rnacentral:rRNA from 1 species